rfam:Oryza sativa Japonica Group DNA, chromosome 11, cultivar: Nipponbare, complete sequence.
AAUAAGUGCAGUUUUGCACUAUUUAUGUUCAACGUUUGACCGUCCGUCUUAUUUGAAAAUUUUUUAUGAUUAUUAUUUUUAUUGCUAUUAGAUGAUAAAACAUAAAUAGUACUUUAUGUGUGACUAAAUGUUUUUAAUUUUUUCACAAAUUUUUCAAAUAAGACGGACGGUCAAACGUUGAACGUGAAUAGUGCAAAACUGCACUUAUU